CAGCCGCCGCGGUAAUACGAAGGGUGCAAGCGUUACUCGGAAUUACUGGGCGUAAAGCGUGUGUAGGUGGUUGUUUAAGUCUGUCGUGAAAGCCCUGGGCUCAACCUGGGAAUUGCGAUGGAUACUGGGCGACUAGAGUGCGGUAGAGGAUAGUGGAAUUUCCGGUGUAGCAGUGAAAUGCGUAGAGAUCGGAAGGAACAUCUGUGGCGAAGGCGACUAUCUGGGACAACACUGACGCUGAGGCACGAAAGCGUGGGGAGCAAACAGGAUUAGAUACCCCCGUAGUCCCUGUCUCUUAUAC
rnacentral:rRNA from 1 species